rnacentral:tRNA from 1 species
UCCCUCAUAGCUCAGUUGGUAAAGAAUCUGCCUGCAAUGCAGGGGACCCAAGUUCGAUUCCUGGGUUGGGAA